UGGGGAAUAUUGCACAAUGGGCGCAAGCCUGAUGCAGCCAUGCCGCGUGUAUGAAGAAGGCCUUCGGGUUGUAAAGUACUUUCAGCGGGGAGGAAGGUGUUGAGGUUAAUAACCUCAGCAAGUGACGUUACCCGCAGAAGAAGCACCGGCUAACUCCGUGCCAGCAGCCGCGGUAAUACGGAGGGUGCAAGCGUUAAUCGGAAUUACUGGGCGUAAAGCGCACGCAGGCGGUCUGUCAAGUCGGAUGUGAAAUCCCCGGGCUCAACCUGGGAACUGCAUUCGAAACUGGCAGGCUAGAGUCUUGUAGAGGGGGGUAGAAUUCCAGGUGUAGCGGUGAAAUGCGUAGAGAUCUGGAGGAAUACCGGUGGCGAAGGCGGCCCCCUGGACAAAGACUGACGCUCAGGUGCGAAAGCGUGGGGAGCAAACA
rnacentral:rRNA from 1 species